ACACACAUGAUACAAUGGCUGGUACAAAGGGCCGCAAUGCCGAAAGGCGGAGCUAAUCCCAUCAAAGCCAGCCCCAGUUCGGAUUGAGGUCUGCAACUCGACCUCAUGAAGUUGGAAUCGCUAGUAACCGCGUAUCAGCCAUGGCGCGGUGAAUAUGUUCCUGGGUCUUGUACUCACAAUAAAAGCGCAUAGCAGCUUAACUUUCUAAGUGGUUUAAAUCCACUUCUCU
rnacentral:rRNA from 1 species